AAAUUGAAGAGUUUGAUCAUGGCUCAGAUUGAACGCUGGCGGCAGGCCUAACACAUGCAAGUCGAACGGUAACAGGAAACAGCUUGCUGUUUCGCUGACGAGUGGCGGACGGGUGAGUAAUGUCUGGGAAACUGCCUGAUGGAGGGGGAUAACUACUGGAAACGGUAGCUAAUACCGCAUAACGUCGCAAGACCAAAGAGGGGGACCUUCGGGCCUCUUGCCAUCGGAUGUGCCCAGAUGGGAUUAGCUAGUAGGUGGGGUAACGGCUCACCUAGGCGACGAUCCUAGCUGGUCUGAGAGGAUGACCAGCCACACUGGAACUGAGACACGGUCCAGACUCCUACGGGAGGCAGCAGUGGGGAAUAUUGCACAAUGGGCGCAAGCCUGAUGCAGCCAUGCCGCGUGUAUGAAGAAGGCCUUCGGGUUGUAAAGUACUUUCAGCGGGGAGGAAGGGAGUAAAGUUAAUACCUUUGCUCAUUGACGUUACCCGCAGAAGAAGCACCGGCUAACUCCGUGCCAGCAGCCGCGGUAAUACGGAGGGUGCAAGCGUUAAUCGGAAUUACUGGGCGUAAAGCGCACGCAGGCGGUUUGUUAAGUCAGAUGUGAAAUCCCGGGCUCAACACUGGGAACUGCAUCUGAUACUGGCAAGCUUGAGUCUCGUAGAGGGGUAGAAUUCCAGGUGUAGCGGUGAAAUGCGUAGAGAUCUGGAGGAAUACCGGUGGCGAAGGCGGCCCCUGGACGAAGACUGACGCUCAGGUGCGAAAGCGUGGGGAGCAAACAGGAUUAGAUACCUGGUAGUCCACGCCGUAAACGAUGUCGACUUGGAGGUUGUGCCCUUGAGGCGUGGCUUCCGGAGCUAACGCGUUAAGUCGACCGCCUGGGAGUACGGCCGCAAGGUUAAAACUCAAAUGAAUUGACGGGGGCCCGCACGAAGCGGUGGAGCAUGUGGUUUAAUUCGAUGCAACGCGAAGAACCUUACCUGGUCUUGACAUCCACGGAAGUUUUCAGAGAUGAGAAUGUGCCUUCGGGAACCGUGAGACAGGUGCUGCAUGGCUGUCGUCAGCUCGUGUUGUGAAAUGUUGGGUUAAGUCCCGCAACGAGCGCAACCCUUAUCCUUUGUUGCCAGCGGUCCGGCCGGGAACUCAAAGGAGACUGCCAGUGAUAAACUGGAGGAAGGUGGGGAUGACGUCAAGUCAUCAUGGCCCUUACGACCAGGGCUACACACGUGCUACAAUGGCGCAUACAAAGAGAAGCGACCUCGCGAGAGCAAGCGGACCUCAUAAAGUGCGUCGUAGUCCGGAUUGAGUCUGCAACUCGACUCCAUGAAGUCGGAAUCGCUAGUAAUCGUGGAUCAGAAUGCCACGGUGAAUACGUUCCGGGCCUUGUACACACCGCCCGUCACACCAUGGGAGUGGGUUGCAAAAGAAGUAGGUAGCUUAACCUUCGGGAGGGCGCUUACCACUUUGUGAUUCAUGACUGGGGUGAAGUCGUAACAAGGUAACCGUAGGGAACCUGCGGUUGGAUCACCUCCUUA
rnacentral:rRNA from 1 species